CGGACGGCUUGAUUAACACGGGACCAACCUGGCUUUGAGUGGGGGAUAACCCGGGGAAACCUGGACUAAUACCGCGUACAGCCGUUUUACCACAGGGUGAUUCGGUGAAAGCAAGCCUCUGUUUACAAGCUUGUGCUCAAAGGGGGGGUCGCGGCGUAUCAGCUUGUUGGUGAGGUAAUGGCUCACCAAGGCUAUGACGCGUAGCGGGUCUGAGAGGAUGACCCGUCACAUUGGGACUGAGAUACGGCCCAGACUCCUACGGGAGGCAGCAGUGGGGAAUAUUGCGCAAUGGUCGAAAGACUGACGCAGCGACGCCGUGUGUGGGACGAAGCCCCUCGGGGUGUAAACCACUGUCAGGAGGGAAGAACGCCGAUCGUUCGAAUAGGGCGGUCGGGUGACGGUACCUCCAGAGGAAGCGCCGGCUAACUCCGUGCCAGCAGCCGCGGUAAGACGGAGGGCGCAAGCGUUGUUCGGAAUUACUGGGCGUAAAGCGCACGCAGGCGGUCUUUUAAGUCCUCUGUGAAAACCCGGAGCUCAACUCCGGGAAUGCAGAAGAUACUGGAAGACUAGAGAACGGUAGAGGUCAGUGGAAUUCCUGGUGUAGCGGUGGAAUGCGUAGAUAUCAGGAGGAACACCGGUGGCGAAGGCGACUGACUGGGCCGUGUCUGACGCUCAUGUGCGAAAGCGUGGGGAACAAACAGGAUUAGAUACCCUGGUAGUCCACGCCGUAAACGAUGGGCACUAGAUGCUGGGUCUAUCGACAAAUUCAGUGUCGCAGCUAACGCAUUAAGUGCCCCGCCUGGGGAGUACGGCCGCAAGGCUGAAACUCAAAGGAAUUGACGGGGGCCCGCACAAGCGGUGGAGCAUGUGGUUUAAUUCGACGCAACGCGAAGAACCUUUACC
rnacentral:rRNA from 1 species